rnacentral:rRNA from 1 species
GGUUAAGCGACUAAGCGUACACGGUGGAUGCCCUGGCAGUCAGAGGCGAUGAAGGACGUGCUAAUCUGCGAAAAGCGUCGGUAAGGUGAUAUGAACCGUUAUAGCCGGCGAUGUCCGAAUGGGGAAACCCAGUGCAAUUCGUUGCACUAUCGUUAACUGAAUACAUAGGUUAACGAGGCGAACCGGGGGAACUGAAACAUCUAAGUACCCCGAGGAAAAGAAAUCAACCGAGAUUCCCCCAGUAGCGGCGAGCGAACGGGGAGCAGCCCAGAGUCUGAAUCAGCUUGUGUGUUAGUGGAACGGUCUGGAAAGUCCGACGGUACAGGGUGAUAGUCCCGUACACCAAAAUGCACAGGCUGUGAACUCGAAGAGUAGGGCGGGACACGUGGUAUCCUGUCUGAAUAUGGGGGGACCAUCCUCCAAGGCUAAAUACUCCUGACUGACCGAUAGUGAACCAGUACCGUGAGGGAAAGGCGAAAAGAACCCCGGCGAGGGGAGUGAAAAAGAACCUGAAACCGUGUACGUACAAGCAGUGGGAGCACCUUCGGGUGUGACUGCGUACCUUUUGUAUAAUGGGUCAGCGACUUAUAUUCUGUAGCAAGGUUAACCGUAUAGGGGAGCCGCAGGGAAACCGAGUCUUAACUGGGCGUUAAGUUGCAGGGUAUAGACCCGAAACCCGGUGAUCUAGCCAUGGGCAGGUUGAAGGUUGGGUAACACUAACUGGAGGACCGAACCGACUAAUGUUGAAAAAUUAGCGGAUGACUUGUGGCUGGGGGUGAAAGGCCAAUCAAACCGGGAGAUAGCUGGUUCUCCCCGAAAGCUAUUUAGGUAGCGCCUCGUGAACUCAUCUUCGGGGGUAGAGCACUGUUUCGGCUAGGGGGUCAUCCCGACUUACCAACCCGAUGCAAACUACGAAUACCGAAGAAUGUUAUCACGGGAGACACACGGCGGGUGCUAACGUCCGUCGUGAAGAGGGAAACAACCCAGACCGCCAGCUAAGGUCCCAAAGUCAUGGUUAAGUGGGAAACGAUGUGGGAAGGCACAGACAGCCAGGAUGUUGGCUUAGAAGCAGCCAUCAUUUAAAGAAAGCGUAAUAGCUCACUGGUCGAGUCGGCCUGCGCGGAAGAUGUAACGGGGCUAAACCAUGCACCGAAGCUGCGGCAGCGACACUAUGUGUUGUUGGGUAGGGGAGCGUUCUGUAAGCCUGCGAAGGUGUGCUGUGAGGCAUGCUGGAGGUAUCAGAAGUGCGAAUGCUGACAUAAGUAACGAUAAAGCGGGUGAAAAGCCCGCUCGCCGGAAGACCAAGGGUUCCUGUCCAACGUUAAUCGGGGCAGGGUGAGUCGACCCCUAAGGCGAGGCCGAAAGGCGUAGUCGAUGGGAAACAGGUUAAUAUUCCUGUACUUGGUGUUACUGCGAAGGGGGGACGGAGAAGGCUAUGUUAGCCGGGCGACGGUUGUCCCGGUUUAAGCAUGUAGGCUGGUUGUCCAGGCAAAUCCGGAUAAUCAAGGCUGAGGUGUGAUGACGAGGCACUACGGUGCUGAAGUAACAAAUGCCCUGCUUCCAGGAAAAGCCUCUAAGCAUCAGGUAACAUUAAAUCGUACCCCAAACCGACACAGGUGGUCAGGUAGAGAAUACCAAGGCGCUUGAGAGAACUCGGGUGAAGGAACUAGGCAAAAUGGUGCCGUAACUUCGGGAGAAGGCACGCUGGUGUGUAGGUGAAGUCCCUGCGGAUGGAGCUGAGACCAGUCGAAGAUACCAGCUGGCUGCAACUGUUUAUUAAAAACACAGCACUGUGCAAACACGAAAGUGGACGUAUACGGUGUGACGCCUGCCCGGUGCCGGAAGGUUAAUUGAUGGGGUUAUCCGUAAGGAGAAGCUCUUGAUCGAAGCCCCGGUAAACGGCGGCCGUAACUAUAACGGUCCUAAGGUAGCGAAAUUCCUUGUCGGGUAAGUUCCGACCUGCACGAAUGGCGUAAUGAUGGCCAGGCUGUCUCCACCCGAGACUCAGUGAAAUUGAACUCGCUGUGAAGAUGCAGUGUACCCGCGGCAAGACGGAAAGACCCCGUGAACCUUUACUAUAGCUUGACACUGAACAUUGAGCCUUGAUGUGUAGGAUAGGUGGGAGGCUUUGAAGCGUGGACGCCAGUCUGCGUGGAGCCAACCUUGAAAUACCACCCUUUAAUGUUUGAUGUUCUAACGUUGGCCCCUUACCGGGGUUGCGGACAGUGUCUGGUGGGUAGUUUGACUGGGGCGGUCUCCUCCUAAAGCGUAACGGAGGAGCACGAAGGUUAGCUAAUCCUGGUCGGACAUCAGGAGGUUAGUGCAAUGGCAUAAGCUAGCUUGACUGCGAGCGUGACGGCGCGAGCAGGUGCGAAAGCAGGUCAUAGUGAUCCGGUGGUUCUGAAUGGAAGGGCCAUCGCUCAACGGAUAAAAGGUACUCCGGGGAUAACAGGCUGAUACCGCCCAAGAGUUCAUAUCGACGGCGGUGUUUGGCACCUCGAUGUCGGCUCAUCACAUCCUGGGGCUGAAGUAGGUCCCAAGGGUAUGGCUGUUCGCCAUUUAAAGUGGUACGCGAGCUGGGUUUAGAACGUCGUGAGACAGUUCGGUCCCUAUCUGCCGUGGGCGCUGGAGAAUUGAGGGGGGCUGCUCCUAGUACGAGAGGACCGGAGUGGACGCAUCACUGGUGUUCGGGUUGUCAUGCCAAUGGCACUGCCCGGUAGCUAAAUGCGGAAGAGAUAAGUGCUGAAAGCAUCUAAGCACGAAACUUGCCCCGAGAUGAGUUCUCCCUGAGACUUUAAGUCUCCUGAAGGAACGUUGAAGACGACGACGUUGAUAGGCCGGGUGUGUAAGCGCAGCGAUGCGUUGAGCUAACCGGUACUAAUGAACCGUGAGGCUUAACCUU